rnacentral:rRNA from 1 species
AGAUUGAACGCUGGCGGCAUGCCUUACACAUGCAAGUCGAACGGUAACAGGUCAAGCUGACGAGUGGCGAACGGGUGAGUAAUAUAUCGGAACGUGCCCAGUAGUGGGGGAUAGCCCGGCGAAAGCCGGAUUAAUACCGCAUACGACCUACGGGUGAAAGGGGGGGAUCGCAAGACCUCUCGCUAUUGGAGCGGCCGAUAUCAGAUUAGCUAGUUGGUGGGGUAAAAGCCUACCAAGGCGACGAUCUGUAGCUGGUCUGAGAGGACGACCAGCCACACUGGGACUGAGACACGGCCCAGACUCCUACGGGAGGCAGCAGUGGGGAAUUUUGGACAAUGGACGCAAGUCUGAUCCAGCCAUGCCGCGUGCGGGAAGAAGGCCUCGGUGUAACGCUUUGUCAGGAGAAUCCUUGAAAUAAUACUUCGGAGGGAUGACGGUACCUGAAGAAUAAGCACCGGCUAACUACGUGCCAGCAGCGCGGU